UCCAGCUUCUACUCCAUUUUCAGUUCUCCACGCUGUUUUUACUCACUAUCUUGCUCAUUCCUGUCUAUCUGCUUCUAGCUAAUAAUCAGGAAAAAAAACUCCCACCCUCGCCCACAAAGCUUCCCCUCAUCGGCAAUCUCCACCAGUUAGGCCCCCUGCCUCACCGCUCUCUCAAUGUCUUCUCCAAUAAGCAUGGACCGCUCAUGCUUCUCCGUCUCGGACAGGUGCCGUUCCUCUUCGUUUCAUCCCCUGACAUGGCUCGAGAGGUUAUGAAAACCCAAGACCACAUCUUCGCCAACAGACCUCGCAUGACUGUCAUCAAACAAAUUCUAUAUGACGGCAGGGACAUCGCCUUUGCACCUUACGGGCACUACUGGAGGCAAGUCAGAAAGCUCACCAUUCUCCAUCUGCUAAGCUCAAAAAUGGUUCAAUCUUUUCGACACAUCAGAGAGGAGGAAGUAGCACUCAUGAUUGACAAGGUGGCUCAAGAGUCUGCACUAGGGCCAGUGAACCUCAAUGAGUCGUUGAAUUCGUUGGCCAAGGGCGUAAUAACUAGAGUGUGCUUAGGAAAGAGCUCCAAAGAGGAGGGGUGGUACAAUGUCGUUCAUAAAUUGAUCCAAGAGUGCUCGGUGAUGAUGGGAAAAUUCCAUAUAGGGGAUUUCAUCCCGCGCCUCGGAUGGCUAUCCACAGUUACAGGCCUGGAUGCAAAAGCGAAAGAGGUUUUCAACAAAGUAGAUGGGAUUCUGGAUAAGAUCACGGAGGACCAUAUCAAAAGGUCGAGAGAAGAUGCCGACAAGAAUGACGACUUCAUUGACGCUCUUCUCUCUGUUGGCAAGGAUCCAACCCUUGGCCUCCCCUUUAACAAAGAGAACAUCAAAGCCAUUGUGGAGGACCUUGUUGGUGCUGGUACUGACUCCACAUACAUAACAAUGGAAUGGGCAAUGGCGGAGAUUGUCCGAAAUCCACAUGUGAUGAUCAAGUUGCAAGAAGAGUUGAGGCAGAUUGUAGGCUCAAGAUCAACGAUCAAUGAAGACGAUCUCACUAAGAUGAAAUACUUGAAGGCUGUGCUAAAGGAGAGCCUGCGGCUUCAUCCUCCAGGGCCAUUGCUGGUGCCUCGAGAGUCUAUGGAAGAUACAGAGAUACAA
rnacentral:misc_RNA from 1 species